rnacentral:rRNA from 1 species
AUUGAACGCUGGCGGCAUGCCUUACACAUGCAAGUCGAACGGCAGCAUGGGUGCUUGCACCUGAUGGCGAGUGGCGAACGGGUGAGUAAUGCAUCGGAACGUACCUUUCAGUGGGGGAUAACGUAGCGAAAGUUACGCUAAUACCGCAUAUUCUGUGAGCAGGAAAGCAGGGGAUCUUCGGACCUUGCGCUGAUGGAGCGGCCGAUGUCAGAUUAGCUAGUUGGUGGGGUAAAGGCCUACCAAGGCGACGAUCUGUAGCGGGUCUGAGAGGAUGAUCCGCCACACUGGGACUGGGAAACGGCCCAGACUCCUACGGGAGGCAGCAGUGGGGAAUUUUGGACAAUAGGGGCAACCCUGAUCCAGCCAUGCCGCGUGAGUGAAGAAGGCCUUCGGGUUGUAAAGCUCUUUCGGACGGGAAGAAAUCGUGGUGGCUAAUAUCUGCCAUGGAUGACGGUACCGUAAUAAGAAGCACCGGCUAACUACGUGCCAGCAGCCGCCGUAA